UGGGUAACCUGCCUCAAAGAGGGGAAUAGCCUCCCCGAAAAGGGGAGAUUAAUACCGCAUAAUAUGUUUAGGUCGCAUGACUUUAACAUCAAAGGAUUUUUCUUUUAAGAAAUUCCACUUUGAGAUGGACCCCGCGGCGCAUUAGCUAGUUGGUGAGGUAACGGCUCACCAAGGCAAUGAUGCGUAGCCGACCUGAGAGGUGAUCGGCCACAUUGGAACUGAGACACGGUCCAGACCUGUACGGGAG
rnacentral:rRNA from 1 species